GACGAACGCUGGCGGCGUGCCUAAUACAUGCAAGUCGAGCGAGCUGGGACGGGUGAGUAACACGUGGGUAACCUCCCAUCAGAGGGGAUAACACUUGGAAACAGGUGCUAAACCGAUACUGAUGUAUGUACCCGCUGUGCAUUAGUUAGUUGGUGGGGUAACGUCUCACCAAGGCCACGAUGCAUAGCCGACCUGAGGGGGGGAUCGGCCACACUGGGACUGAGACACGGCCCAGACUCCGACGGUAGGCAGCAGUGGGGAAUCUUCGGCAAUGGACGAAAGUCUGACCGAGCAACGCCGCGUGAGUGAAGAAGGUUUUCGGAUCGUAAAACUCUGUUGUUAGAGAAGCGGUAUCUAACCAGAAAGCCACGGCUAACUACGUGCCAGCAGCCGCGGUAAUUC
rnacentral:rRNA from 1 species